AUUGACUCUUUGCUCCUCUCGCGGUCAUGUCAAAGGUUCUAGCAAAAAGAGUGAGUAGGAGUAGGAGUACUGAGUAAGUGAGUAAACAGCGGAGUAGAAAGUGGUGAAUGAAGUGACACCAGGUGUCACGUGGGCGGCCAGGCUGUCAAGACUGCCAACCACGUCCUACAGGCUUGCUACAGAAUGCACGGGUCCCGAGUCAUAUCGUGCGGUAUGUCGCUCAUGGGCUCGUGCAAAGGGGCUUCAACGUCUCUGUGGAGCCCCACCUUCGAACGCCAGAAGGACUACGCAAGCCUGACGCGGUGGCGGUAAAAGAUGGCAUCGCCCGUGUGAUGGACGCCCAGAUAGUCGGCAACCAUCUCUGGCUCGACUGGUGUCACACACUGAAGAUGACCUACUAUGACACGCCGUCCAUCUGGCAUGCAGUCUCCAACCUGCAACGAGACAUCCAGGAGGGACCUCAUCAACCUGGGGUUCCGACCCCGAGAGCUGGUGGUUCUAAGUGCCCAAGUUCUGCAGAGCUGCUGAAUCACCUACUGGAUUUUCGAGUACAUGACGGCGAAUAGGCUGAUGCCACGUGUUGGCGUUGGAUAGUGCACUGGUUAUCUCUUUAUUUCCUGACUCCUGGGGACUAUCACAGGAGGAAUAACGUCUUUGUUCCUCUGUGUACCAUACAUCGUCCACCCCUUAGUGCAAUGGGUCCAGGAAAAAUUUCCCUUGCUCACUCUUGAUGGAGCCACUGUGAUGUUUACAUGGGUCCCUGGUCACUUCGGUCUAACAGGAAAUGAGGCUGCUGGUGCUGCUGCCAAAGCUGCAAUCCUCGUACCUCAGACCACUAGGUCUUCCAUUUCCUCUGAUGAUAUCUGUGUUGCUGCCUGUCAGCAGGUGGUGUCACUUUGGCAUCAUCACUGGUCUUUUCUUCAUGGAAACAAGCUCCGGGGAAUUAGACCUCUCCUAGUGGCUUGGACAAUCUCCUCUCAGCCCUCUCGCUAUGAGAUCAUUUUAGCUAGCUUGCAUAUUCUGCACUGUCUUUUUAGCCAUCACCAUUUGUUAAGUGGUGAACUUUCAGCCCUUUGUGCUCAUUACCUUUGACGAUUCCUCAUUUCCUGGCUGAAUACACUUUUUUAACCACUUACGUUUCAUUUAUGUUUGCUGUCUGAGUUAUCAGCUGGUUUAACGAAUGACGUGGGCUGUCAAUCACAUUUUACUUUUUAUUCGUUGUAGCAAUAUGCCGAAGGACAUUUAAUCUUUAGUUCAGGACCUCUGUUGUCUCUAUAGCAUAUUUUGUGGACCAUUCUUCAAGUCCCUGUGUUUAGCUGUCUUUCCUUUCACUGAUUGUGACACUUACGACCCUAGUUGUUUUUUGCCUCCUAAAACAAAACAAUGCAGAAGUGUGCUGCCCAGUGACAAAAGAAAUAUUGCUGAAGUGAGAUAAAAAGACAAAACCUGUUUAUUAAUGGAAGACCAGGUGUAAUAUAGUGGAAAGUCAAGCCACUUAGGCCAGAGGUCUAUAAAUUCUGUCUUCUGACCACAGCCAUACCAUUCAGAACACCCUUUUUUAUACCAAAACCCAGUUUUAUUAAUUUUUCUGACUUACAUAAUGCAUGCCAGCUGUAAGUGUUUGUUGUGUACAUAUUGCAGACACAAAAAAUUAUUACAAGAAACAUACAACAAAGUGCACUGUAAAGUAUGAUGUAUGAUUACGCGCAUGAAAAUACAGGUCUAAGAGAGAAGAUGAAACAUAUAGAUUUGU